rfam:Aedes aegypti strain Liverpool supercont1.316 genomic scaffold, whole genome shotgun sequence.
UUUGUACUAUUUGUUAUUAAAUUUGAUGGCCAGGCCUGGUGUCCUUUCCCUACACCAGGCCUGGCCAUCAAAUUUAAUAACAAAAUAUUACAAAGCG